ensembl:lncRNA
AGCGCACGCGCCCCCGCAGCGCACGCGCCCCCGCAGCGCACGCGCCCCCGCACGCGCAGUGCAAUGGAGCGGAGAGAAAGACCCUUAACUGGGUCUGCUGCAUUAGUAUCUGCUUUCCUGGUGAACUAGGGAACAGACAGGCCACCUCUUAGUGCAAGGCCAGGCUCAUUGCUGCUCAUAUCUGCCUGUUGGAGCACUUUUGUGGCCACUGCAGCUCACCUGAUGGAACGCUUUUGUCACCGAAGUAGGGAGGUCAUCUGAUUUGGCACCUAUAGGAAGCCACCCUGAUUGCAGGAUUUCCAGCCUUCUCCUACAUGUAAAUCAUCAAUAAACAUGACGUGACAAUUAAGACUGAGUGAGAGAUAGCAGAAACAAAUGGCAAAACCAAAUCUCCAAAGGCCUCAGAUAUUGGAAAUGUCUGCUUUAGUUCGAAGAAGAAAUGUAUUCUUCCACUCAUUUUGUAGACCUAGAAAGCAAAAUUGAUCUCUUCGCAUGUGGGUCUUUGUUAUGGCAUGUGGGACCUAGUUCCCUGACCAGGAACUGAACCUGGGCUCCCUGCAUUGUGAGCUUGGAGUCUUGGCCCUGGAGCACCAGCAAAGUCCUUCUUUGGUGUAUUUAAAGAAACUAGAAUAACUGGAAACAUGAACAAGGAAUAAAGGG